rnacentral:rRNA from 1 species
GCAAGUCGAGCGCACCCUUCGGGGCGAGCGGCGGACGGGUUAGUAACGCGUGGGAAUGUACCCUUUUCUACGGAAUAGCCAUUGGAAACGAUGAGUAAUACCUUAUACGCCCUUUGGGGGAAAGAUUUAUCGGAGAAGGAUUAGCCCGCGUUAGAUUAGGUAGUUGGUGGGGUAACGGCCUACCAAGUCUACGAUCUAUAGCUGGUUUUAGAGGAUGAUC